AUCCUUACAUUUUCUCACAUUUUUAAAUUUCAGUAACCACUUGACAAGACUAUCCGCCCGGCUCAGUCUUGCCAUCUCACAUACUCGGGUAGCUAUCCGCCCGGCUCAGCUUUCCCGAUCACACAAUAUCCAUACAAAAGUCAUCAAUCCUUAAUCACAACCAUUUCACUUCACAACACAUCACAAUCAAUUCACUUCACAACACAUCACAAUCAAUUCACUUUAUAACAAGCCAAAAACAUAACUAAUAUCAACUCAGUCAACCAAGAAAUUAUCAAGUAAUCAAACAGCAGUCCCUACUCAAUAUACACAAAGUUUAGUCUAUUAAAUACUUACCAAAAGUUAUAGGAUAACAAAGUAAUCCUAUUCUUUUUCUCUUACCACUUCCUUGCCUUUGGAUGAACCUAUUCACAUAUUCAAUACAAAUACAAUUCAAUCACAAGGCAUAAAUAUAUAUAUAUAUAUAUAUAUAUAUAUAUAUAUAUAUAUAUAUAUAUAUAUAUAUAUUUACUAUCAAUAAAAUAUCACAUUUCAACAAAAUAACAUAUAUUCUAGAUAUUAAUAUGAUGCAUGAGAUGAAUGACAACAAAUCAACAUAUUUGUUGAUGAAGGCAGCUUGUAGGUACUGACUUUGAAAUUACACCAAAACUUAUGUACAAUUAAUAAAAAUCUCAUAUUUUCCAGAAUUACACUUCCAUUUUUAUAGAAACCAUAGCAGAAAGAAUCACCUCAAAAUCAUUGGUAUAGAAAUAGUUAUGACAUUUUCUAUACAGCUGCUCAAAUUUCCAUCUAAACAGAACAGAAAAAAGUUUCCUAUUAAAUGACCAAUCAAACGAAUGAAUUUUCUGAUGAAACUCUCCAGAUAUAAAGUAACAUUCUAAAGUUUCUAUAGACACUAAUUUUACUCAAUUUGGACUUUUCUAGCUCAAGUUGUGAAACAUAAAAUUAGCAACAAAUUUCUGAAUCCUAAGCCCGAUUUCUGCUUAAAACAGUUUCGGGCAGGCCAUAUUAAGUUCAACAUAUCUCACGUUAUACUCAACCAAAAAUUAUGAAAUUUUUCAGACAUAUACUACAUAUAUAAAUGAACAACUUUCAUGUUUAACUCUCUGCUUGGUUCAGCCUCUAAAUGCCUCAAAAUGUCAGCACAAAAACCAGGUCACCUGCUGAACCAAAAACAGAGCAGCAGCAAAAUCGAACCUCAUAAGUUCCUACUCACUCAACAAUCUGCAAAACCAUUUUACAGAGAUAUUCUUGAGACAUAUACCUACAGCUUUCAUGUUUGAAAAUUUUCGAGAUAAAGCCUAUAAGGUCACGAAAUCAUAAGUGAAAAAUCUGCCCAGAAAUUUCAGCUUCAAGAUCACAAGUAAAAGCAUGUUUACUCUUGAUUAAACAAUUGCAAAACACAUAAUCAUCAACAAUUUCAUAUCAUUAACCCUAAUUUACAGCAAAAUCAAGCAAUUAAAAUUACUCACCUUUGUUUUUCUUGAUUAAGAAAGCCCAAAUCUUUCAAGCUUAAAAGAAGAAUUUGAUUUUCACUUACUAAAAGUUUUGUAGAGUUUGAUUUGGAAAAUCAAAGUUGAAGAAGGAAAGGAGAAAAAUGAGAGAGACAAAGAAGAAAAGGAAAU
rnacentral:lncRNA from 1 species